rnacentral:lncRNA from 1 species
CGGGACUGGGUGUGUUAGCUACGGGACUGGGUGUGUUAGCUACGGGACUGGGUGUGUUAGCUACGGGACUGGGUGUGUUAGCUACGGGACUGGGUGUGUUAGAUACGGGACUGGGUGUGUUAGCUAUAGGGUGUGUUAGCUAUAGGACUGGGUGUGUUAGCUAUAGGGCUGGGUGUGUUAGAUAUAGGGCUGGGUGUGUUAGCUAUAGGACUGGGUGUGUUAGUUAUAAGACUGGGUGUGUUAGCUACAGGACUGGGUGUGUUAGCUACGGGACUGGGUGUGUUAGCUACGGGACUGGGUGUGUUAGCUACAGGACUGGGUGUGUUAGCUAUAGGACUGGGUGUGUUAGCUAUGGGACUGGGUGUGUUAGCUAUGGGACUGGGUGUGUUAGCUAUGGGACUGGGUGUGUUAGCUAUGGG